UACAUUUUACUUUUGGAAGUGCUGGGCUCACUUGUAAAAUGACAAAGCUGGAAGUGCUGUAAGUGCUAAAAGCUGAUACUGGAGCUGCCAGGAGCAGAUUUCCCCCAGCCCUCCCACUGUUUUGGAUGCUCUGCGCUCUCCUGGCCAUGCACUUAGGACCCUCCUGGCUACUCAAGAGAGAGCCCAGUUCCACCUGCUGCCACUCUUCAGCCUCUCCCAGCCUCGGGCUCCAGAUACCCCCCACUUCUCGACUCAGACACAUCAGGACGCACUCCUUGGGUGAGCCUCACCCUUGGGACUCUGCUUCCUGCUAACCAACUGGCGUUCAGGGUUGUUAAUGGCUGUUUAAGUGGUCUUAAAUACCACCACCUCUAGAAGGUUCCUAGUAGCAGAUGGGGAGGAACUCCUACUUCUGAGGGCAAGGCUGGUCUUUCUUACAUAUUCCGAGACCUGGAAAGUGAGACGUGGAGCAGGCAGUACAACUGUAGACUUACAGCCCAGGGCUCCAGAGGCCCUCAGGCAAAGCAGUCCCGGGCAAUCUGCUGGAAGGUUUCUGCCUGGAGUUGGUGCUGGAACAGACCAAGCUGGGGACUCAGAAUGGAGAGAGCAGUCCUGGCUCCAGACGACGCCGAUCUCCCACUCGUGUGCCUCUCUCAGAGCAAAGUGUGGGCUCCAGGAAAGCGGGGGCUUUCAUGGGCCUGGGCUUACCUUCCGAGCUUCCUCCCUUCUAAUGGAUCUUUGGCUGUGGCAUCUGAUGGAGUAGAGCCCCAGUCUGGUCCUCCAACCCCUUAAGAGUGUGCUGCCCUGAGUAAGGGACUCCGCCUCCCUUGAACUUGGUCUCCCACCUGUCCAACAGGGAGCCUGGGCCAGGUGGUCUCCACGGAUCUGCCCCCUUAGCUUUAACUCAAACCUCUGUUACCUCUGGAGACACCUGCCCCACCGUGGAGAGCACCGAGGGGUGGUGUUGGGCAGAUGUGAAGGACCAAGCACGUUCCGGCUCCUCAGGCCCACACCAGGACAGCACUUCCGGUGCUCUCCCUUGAGGCUUGCCCUCGGGGUCCUGAUGGGGGUGGGGACCACACCAGGGAAACAAUUUUUCCCCCCAUGCCUAUCUGUCCAGUGUUUGUGUGUAUGGGGGUCAAGGUUCCAGGAUAGGUGGAGGCCCGUGACCUGGCAGUGUAUCAAGUCCCUACCAGCUACUUCCUGACACCCGAGGCUCCGUGUAGAGCCUCAGGGGCCCCAGCUCUGAAAGGCGGUGAAGGAAUUUUCUCCCUCUCAUAAAGACCACGGACACUUUCCUUCUGUCCCCUCUCUCUUGACAGCUCGUAAACUGGCCUCAGGACCCUCUCUGCUCCCCAGACUCUCCCUGUGCAUGAGGAGGAGGGGUGAGGAAAGGUUUUGGUUAGCAGAACCGUUAACAGGCAGCGUUUGUCCCAGCUGUCCUCUGCCCCUGGCCAUGUCACCAGUCCCAUGGAGGAAGAAUCCUUUCCCAUGGCCCCUCAGGGUGACCCUAUCUUCCCAGUUUGCCUAAAAUGCUCCUGGUUUUAUCUCCGAAAGCCCCAUGUCCCCAGAAACCGCUGUCUGGGCAAACGACAGUGGGUCCUGCCAAGUCCACUGUAUUUAUGAAAGGCAUUCUGUGAAACCUAGUGCCCCUCGGCCCCCUUCAGUCUGUGCCUCCAGUCCUCCUUCAGUCUGACUGGACUUAAAAGAAACCUGCCCUGGUGACCCCAGAUUUGGAGGAAGAGAAGUUUCCUGGGAAUUCUGGAGGGCUGGACUGCUGUGCAGACGCUGCCUCGACCCGGCUGCCAGGGCUGCCCCUCCUUCCCUGCGGCCAUUCCUCAGAUGGUGGCCCGGGCAGCGGGACUUCACCUCGCCAGCCUGGUGCUCCCAGGCCCAGAAGCUCUCCUGCAGACUGGGGAGGCUGGGCAGGUAAGGUAGAUAGAGUGCUGCUCCUGGAAGCCAUGAAUAAUAAUUUCCCAGUUUCCCCAGGUCUCCCUGAUUUCUGCUCCCCAGAGCAGAUACGAGGCUCAGCGAGCACCAUUGGGGGAGGCGAAGAGGGGUGCCGUCGUCCCCCUGGGAGGCCGGUAGGUCUCUUCUCCAGCCUCUGCCAGACGGAGGGGAUCAGAGAAGAGCAAAGAAGAGACUGCCAGACUGCUGGAGCCCGCAGGGAUUUUGUGGGGUUUGUUUUUCCUCAGCACUGUCUGCAGAGGGGUACAGGUCUGUGAAUCAUCAGGCUUACACAUUUCCGCAACUUUUGUUGAUCAUUGAUCGGUGAACUCGGUCUUUGGCUGGAUGUUCUUGCUGAUCUUCUGGGUCAGUGGCCUGUUGCUGUGACUCUCAGAUGUCUUUGCCCGAGGCGGAAUUGCACCGCCGUUGCCAGGGGCCAGGCUAAGGGUUCGCUCUCAGGAGCUUUUGUUCCCUGAUGGCUUUCCGUACCGCUUUGGAGGAUGGGAAUGAAGAUGGAGGCCGCCCUGUAUCUCACCGGAAGAGCUGAGAGUUGGGGACUCCACUCCUCAGUGCGCCUCAGAGAAAAGCCGUCAGUCCCUCCCGUCUCCCUGGUCUCCGGCCGCACUUGUGCUCAUCCGGCCUGUGACCGAGCGUUUCUGUCUCUAGUGCAUGGCCCUGUUUGGAGUCUCCAAUCCCAGCAGAUUCCUACCAUGCUGCUCCCACACUGCUUCUCCUGGAGGAGAAAGGUGGGGGUUUUCCCGGAUCUGCCACUUGUGGGGUCCCUGCUCGAAGAGCAGUGGCCUGACUGUGCCUUGGAUCAUGGUUUAAGCACAGAGAAGAGGCCAUAGGAGGAUGCGUUGAGAAGGUGAUCACCUGCAAACCAGGAAGAGAGUUCUCACCAGAAACUGACCUUGAUGGCGCCUUGGUCUUGGA